GUGAGGAAUAUUGCGCAAUGGGGGAAACCCUGACGCAGCGACGCCGCGUGGAUGAUGAAGGCCUUCGGGUCGUAAAAUCCUGUCAGAUGGAAAGAAAUGUAGUAUGCCUAAUACGUGUACUAUUUGACGGUACCAUCAAAGGAAGCACCGGCUAACUCCGUGCCAGCAGCCGCGGUAAUACGGAGGGUGCAAGCGUUGUUCGGAAUUACUGGGCGUAAAGCGCGCGUAGGCGGCUAUUUAAGUCAGAUGUGAAAGUCCACGGCUCAACCGUGGAAGUGCAUUUGAAACUGGAUGGCUUGAGUACUGGAGGGGGUGGUGGAAUUCCCGGUGUAGAGGUGAAAUUCGUAGAUAUCGGGAGGAAUACCGGUGGCGAAGGCGACCACCUGGCCAGAUACUGACGCUGAGGUGCGAAAGCGUGGGGAGCAAACAGGAUUAGAAACCCUUGUAGUCC
rnacentral:rRNA from 1 species